rnacentral:rRNA from 1 species
GACGACGCUGGCGGCGUGCCUAACACAUGCAAGUCAAGGAGAAUUCCCGACUUGUCGGGAUAGUAAACUGGCGAACGGGUGAGUAACACGUAGGUAAUCUACCCUCGGGAUCGGGAUAACCUCGCGAAAGUGGGGAUAAUACCGAAUAAAGUCUCGGUAUAAUUUGUCGAGAUGAAAGAUGGGGAUCUUCGGACCUAUUACCUGAGGAUGAGCCUGCGCCUGAUUAGCUAGUUGGUAGGGUAAAUGCCUACCAAGGCAACGAUCAGUAGCUGGUCUGAGAGGAUGAUCAGCCACAUUGGGACUGAGAUACGGCCCAGACUCCUACGGGAGGCAGCAGUGAGGAAUUUUGCGCAAUGGGCGAAAGCCUGACGCAGCAACGCCGCGUGACUGAUUAAGCUCUGAGGAGUAGUAAAAGUCUGUCGUAGAGGAAGAAACUAUCCGAUAAGAAUAUUGUCGGAUACUGACGGUACUCUAUGAGAAAGCUCCGGCUAACUCCGUG